rnacentral:rRNA from 1 species
UACGGGGGGAGCAAGCGUUGUUCGGAUUUACUGGGCGUAAAGGGCGCGUAGGCGGGCGCAACAAGUCACUUGUGAAAUCUCCGGGCUUAACCCGGAGCGGUCAAGUGAUACUGUCGUGCUAGAGUGUGGAAGGGGCAAUCGGAAUUCUUGGUGUAGCGGUGAAAUGCGUAGAUAUCAAGAGGAACACCUGAGGUGAAGACGGGUUGCUGGGCCAACACUGACGUGAGGCGCGAAAGCCAGGGUAGCGAACGGG